rnacentral:lncRNA from 1 species
UUUAUAUUGCAACAGGGUUCAGAAUGACACCACCAGGUGUGGCCGGGCGACAGCUGCUGCCACCCCUAACGCGGGGUCUGCCCCCUCUCCCGCGCGUCCAGGUGCCCUGUGUCCCUGUCCCGCUCCCACUGAGGGGCGGAUCAGACCUGGAGGUCUGAUCCGGGCUUCCCCGGGCCCUGCCUGCGGGACUGGCCACCCAAGGGCCGCCCUGGACGCCUCCCUCUGUGAGGUCAGGUCCUCGCUGUCGGGGGUCAAGGCUGUGCGCAGGGUCGUGUUGACCCAAGGUCUCGCUGACGCACGGGGCGGGAGACGAUGACGCUCCGCUUGCCACAGCAGGUGGCGUGGACCAAGCUUCUCCUCGACCCCUUCCUCGGGGGUCACGCCAGGGCGGCCGCCAAUGCCCUCUCCCGUUUAGUAGGGGUAGGGGGACACGGCGAUGAGCAAGACGAAGACGCUUUGGUGGCGCGGUGCCGCAGCACGCACGGGCUUGACCCCCGACCUGCACUUGAAGAUCUGCGUCAGCCAGGCUCUCGGGGACAACGCCAUUGACCACCACGUCGAGGAGCAGGAGGCCAUCGGGAUCCAGACCCCGGGCCACCUGGGUCAUCGUGAGCAGCUCCCCUGCAAACCAUCCCCACCCAGCCCAGAGUCACCACGGGAGGUCCUGGGCGCAGGCUUUAGUCCUACCUGGCCCACCUGGGGGAGGCCCUGUUUACCUGUAGCAAACUCCACGUGUGACUCCUGCCGGAACCUGCCCCCAGUCAGAGAGUGGCCAUUCAGGGCUUCCCCACUCUCUCUGGCCAGGGCCCAGUAGAUGGGGGCGAUGGUGACCACGAGCACCCGCAUCAGAGGCCCUGGGUGGGGCAGGGCAUAGAGGCCGGGUUAGAGCUGAUCCUCAGGGCAGCCACCUCCUGUUCAAGGUCCCGUCAU